rnacentral:tRNA from 1 species
GGCUUAGCUCAGUGGUAGAGCAGCUGACUUGUAAUCAUCAGGUCGUCGGUUCGACUCCGACAGC